CCGGCCGCCGGGGGGACGCGGCCCUGGCCGGCGCGCGCGGGGGAUGCGGAGUUGUCGCCGGAGCACGGAGCUCGGGCGCCCGUCCCGGGGACCCUGGAGAAGGUGGAGGGGGGGCCGGGCGCCCGGGGAGGAGAGAGGGAUUCGCUUUGCUGGUUCUGGCGGCAUUUAAGGAGGCUGGUGGUUGGGGAGGGUGGAAACGGGCUGACCGGGAGGGGGGACAGGGGCCGCAGGAGUCUGCUCUUGCCCGGGCUUGGGGGUUCUGGGGGAGCCAGAGUCUGGAGCAAAGGGGACUCGCUCUGCUGAUCUGCCGCCGUUCGGAAGAGCUAGAUCUCUGGGGCGGUUGGGGACACUGGGGCCAUGGGGAGGACACGUCUGUGGAUUUAGGGGACCCACUGUGCGCGUCUCAGGCGGGGAUCGAAGGAGAUCAGAAGGGGCGACUUCCUUUGCUGCUCCCCGACCCUUUGGAGAAGCUAGUGUUAGGGGGAUGAAAGCUGGAGGUUGGCCAUAGAGGACUGGGGAUGUUGGGAUCAGCCUGUGUUCUAGUCUCGGGGGCCAGGUGCUAACCCCGGUCGCGGCUGGGGUGCAGGCUGCGCUUGGGUGCCCCCGGGAGGCAGCCUUCCUGGGCGCGGGGGCCUGGGCGCGGUGGGAGGGCAGGGAGCGGGCGGUUUAGGGAGAUCCGUGGCUCCCCCAACCCCGGUCCUGCGGCCCCUUUACCCCGCAGCUGUGCUUGUUGGGGCUGCUUGGGUCGGUGCGCGGGGGAGGCGGGGAGGAUGUAGUAGGGGGACGGGUCGGCGGCUGGGCUGCUGUUCACGCCGGGGGGGAUAUUUUCCUGUCUCGCGCGCCCUCCCUAUCUUCAUCUUCGCCUUUUUGCAGGCUGUUCGCGGCUGGCAGACCCAGACCCGCGCCUUUCUGGCAGGGUUAAGACGGGAACAGUAUUGGCUAUUGAUGAAGAUAGUAAAUCGCCGCACGUAGAGGUGUGCGGCUCGGCGACCCUCCACUUCCAGCUUUCGACCAACAGACCUCCCCCCCCCCCCUUCUCUCUCCCUUCGAUGAGGGCAGGGGCCAGCCUCCUCCCUUUCCCCUCUUGCAGACCCCCCGGGCUGAGCCCCGAGCUCCCUUGAAUCUGUCCAGCCUCCUCCCCGGGGUUGGAGGCCACGUCCUCUGCCUUAGCCGAGGAAGGGAUGGGAAGAAGGAGGCGAUGCGCUUUUCAUCCCUUGUUCUCGUAAGGAUAGCGAACCCCACGUUUUUCUGCUCUCUCAUCCACCCGCUCCUGGAUACCCGGAGGUGGGGGUAAUCUGAACCAAGAAAAAAACGUGUCCCGAUGUUUCUGCUUCCCCUGGUCACAGCCUCCUGUCCCCAGGUGGCCCAAGCGCACGGUUUUGGUGCAGUGGGUCCCCUAGCUCUGUCGUGCGCCCUGGAGCAGGACGCGGACGCUCUCGCUGCCCUCCGGGACCCGCUGGGGGACUGGCAGCCAGUGUCCCCUUUGCAGGCACGGAGGUGGCCUCGAGGGGAAGAGAGGCAAAGCACCGUUUUUUCCGGCACCCCGUUUUCCCUCUGCGCAUCCUCCUCAUCUCCUGUCCCUGGAACUGCACAGAGCUCCUGCCACAGCCCAGAAACCCAGCUCGGGUGCCGAGCUAGGACGUGCGUCCACACUCACCCUGAGGCCUGGGGUUUGCCCACCAGGAUCCUGCCUCCACAGGGCUGGGGGCGAUGUGGACAUUUCCCCUUAAAAAUGCCCCCACCUCCUUAAAAAGACCACUGCUUAGUAUUUGUGUUAGUCAUCUGCCCCUUCUAGACUUUCUUUUUUGCCGUUUACUUGCUGGCUGAGUGGGCUCAGGUGCACGCUGGGGUCGAGCUUUGUAAGGGUCACGCUUUAAUGGGGGCAAUGGGAGGCAGCAGGACAGCAGCCUUGCGAAAUAAGAGGAAUUUCUAAUUCCACUUCUGGCCUUAUCCUUACGCUCGGGCAGUCAGUGGACCGGCCGUGAUUUUCUUUUUCCUGGUGUCUGAGGAAGCUUGAAAUCCAAAAUGGGACCUCUAGUGAUGCCGCCUUCGUGGGGCUUGGACAAUUUUCGUCUUCCACGUUUUCUUUUCAUGCCUACGUUGCGAGAGUGAAACCCUUCUCUUUGAUUCUGAUAUGUUUUGUACCGUGAUUACAUUACAUCUAGGAAGCUGGCGUUGGAAACGCUUCAGAUGGAUAAGCUCUGCUGUGUCCUGCACGUCAGACUUGAAGCAUCCGUGAUUGAUGGCUGCACCUCUCCCUCUAAGCCUCUCGGUGUAUUUGCAUGUACAUGCUUUAGUGCUGAUGGACAUCCUUUAUGGCCUUGUUAGAAAAAUGAGAAAGCGAUAUUUGUAGUUCAGCUAUCUUACUGUUUGGGAUGGAAUGCGAAAUCGUGUAGUCCCCUCACCCCCUCCUAACUACCCCAAGUGUGUUGUUUAAAAACGAAGAAUCUACCCUGUCUUGAAACUUGGUCCCUCUGACACAGUUAUGGAAUAAAAUCUCUGAUGUUGGCUUCUAAACAGUGUUCACAUGGCAGAGUUGAUGAAGUUAGAACAUUAAUACUACAAAUAGGCAUUAUAGGACCUUUUGGAAAUAAGGGAAGUUGCUGUCCCUGGAGGCAGAAAGGUUAUAGGAAAGGUUGGCUGAAAUGAGAAAAAGAACUAGCUGAGAGUGGAGCUCUGAGCAUCUCCUUGAUUGUGGACCUGUUGUCACUGAAUAAAAGAUUAUAUUGUUUUUUAUGUGGGGCAGUACAGGGAAUGCUGAUGGUUUAACACAGCAGAACAAAAAAGAAAAACCCCUUUCAGAUUCAUCUUCCUAUUCUUCUGAAGAAUUUCUAACUUAAUGUGAUAUAAUCAGUUAUAAUUUGGUACACCAGUUCCAAUGAAGUUUCCUGCCAUUUAUGUGAGAUCAUUUGAAAUGCCCCAAAGUAAUUGUUAUUAGGGACCCCCUCCUACCUCCUUACUCCGUCCCCCAUUUUCCUGGAAACUUCUUAACCAAAAGGACAGUCUAGACACUUCUGUCAGCCUUAUCUUGGUCAGGAAAGCAAAUUAAAUGUUGCUAGUGCUUUGUUGCUUUAGCUCUUCCCUUUUAUGGUAAAAAUUUUUUUGUUUUGCUUUUUUAAAAUCUGAAUUUUCAUUUAGCAUUUUCCUUCUAGCAUGCAGGACAGUGCAGUGCCCUUUCUGAGCAGGAUAAAGAUUAUAAUACGGUGUGCAUUCUGAAUGGCAAGAUUAAAAAACUAGAAUUAACCCUUUCAUCCUGGGGUGCAUCUUUCACGUGGUCACGUUUCGUAAAUCAGUUUAUGGGAGAAAUUCAGCGCAUCUGAAGUAAUCUCAGAAGCGCUCCUGCCCCAUCAAAUAAGCCCUCGGCAGGCUUUGGUUACGGGUUGACCACUAUCAGAUGACAGGUAGUAGUCACCGAAGCUUUAUCUGUGUAGAGAAUAAAAGGCCUGUGUAUCUUAGAAAAUAAAGGAAGCCAAGACUGUGUCCUGCCCCCACUUUUAGUUCUUCAUCUGAGCGUGAUCUAGCCAAAGCCGGUAGCUACUGAGGGGCUCAGGAAAGUGAGAAAUAGUCUUCUGAGAAGAGCCUGCCCCCAACAGGCAGUAAGAGCUUGUGGAAUUCAGCAACAGUCACUCAGUCUGUCCCAGAAUGAGGAUGCCUGGGCACAUAUUGGCCCUCAAUAAUUAUUUGCAAAUGAUUAAAAGAUCAGAAAAAAAAAAAAAAAAA